GGGGCCUUCCACCUCCGCGAGUUUUAUGACUUAAAAAAGCCCACAGGCUGGUCUGAAGGUCGGAGGCCUAAUUUUAACGCGUUUUCCUCCCUUUAAUUUGAAACGGGAACGCGAAUGACUGUAAAAUGUGGGCACAAUAUUUAAUCUCUCGCCUUUUUAAAGCUUAAUAGUGGAUAAUAGGGGGGCAGUAUCAAGGGAUAAUUUGGGUCCCCACAGUACCAAAGCAUUUAGAAACCUCUGUUUAAUUUAAGGAAUGAGAUAAGUUACUGCUUUUCUAGACUUCCUAGCAUGGGCUGUUGUGCUGGAGAGAACGAGAGCUACGAAGAGACUACAGUGCCUCUGACUUUUUCAUAGGACAGUUGGCCGGUGAAUCUUAUUAAUAGUUUACCACAAUUAAGUGUUCAUUUUUAGUCUAGAAGGGACAGGCGUUUAUUGUGCAUUGGCCAGUGCCAGCACAUCCGAUGCAAGGCAGUUCACCGUAUUCUAUCUUUAAUUUUUACCAUGGUCCUCUGAGGUAGGUGUUCUUAUCUCUCUCUCUCUCUCUCUCUUUUAAACAGAGGAAGACAAACAUAAAGAUGAAGUGCUUAAUUCAAGGUCACACAAUGUCGGGGAUGGACCUCCAGAUUUCCUUACUGACCUGCAUUAUCUUGUGGAUACCUGAGUGAAUUCCACACCACCCAUUUUAUAGAUGAAACCACUGAGACAUGGAGCAAUUGACUGAGUAGUCACUGCCCCACCCCUGC
rnacentral:lncRNA from 1 species